GAUGAACGCUGGCGGCGUGCCUAAUACAUGCCAGUCGAGCGAACAGACGAGGAACUUUCUCCUCUGACGUUAGCGGCGGACGGGGGAGUAACACGUGGGUAACCUACCUAUAAGACUGGGAUAAAUUAGGGAAACCGGAACUAAUACCGGAAAAAAUAUUCAACCGCAUGGUUCAAUAGUGAAAGACGGUUUUGCAGUCACUUAUAGAUGGAUCCGCGCCGCAUUAGCUAGUUGGUAAGGUAACGGCUUACCAAGGCAACGAUGCGUAGCCGACCUGAGAGGGUGAUCGGCCACACUGGAACUGAGACACGGUCCAGACUCCUACGGGAGGCAGCAGUAGGGAAUCUUCCGCAAUGGGCGAAAGCCUGACGGAGCAACGCCGCGUGAAUGAUGAAGGUCUUCGGAUCGUAAAGCUCUGUUAGUAGGGAAGAACAAAUGUGUAAGUAACUAUGCACGUAUUGACGGUACCUAAUCAGAAAGCCACGGCUAACUCCGUG
rnacentral:rRNA from 1 species